rnacentral:misc_RNA from 1 species
AAGUCGUCACAAGGUUUCCGUAGCUGAACCUGCGGAAGGAUCAUUAACGUAUCCAAACGUUAAACCCCCCGAACCUUUAUUGUACUUACACGCUUCGUUGGCAAGUAGCAGGCACAGCGGGUGGACUCGCGCCCCGGCCAAGUCGCCGGCCGUGAUGGCCUCUAGCGAUCGUUACUGCGCCAUCCUUACAGAGCUAAUGACACUUCCAGACAUUCACUACUUCGCCUCGUCUCCCACUUCACGCACCGGGUAGACGGAAUCAAAACUGUUCGGCUAUGAUUUUUCCCUGCCUUUGCAUGAAAACGGGCCUGCGCUUAAUUGUGCGGCCACCAAACUCGAACAACUGGGAUAUCUUGGUUCUC